rnacentral:rRNA from 1 species
AGCGAACGCUGGCGGCAGGCCUAACACAUGCAAGUCGAACGAACUCUUCGGAGUUAGUGGCGGACGGGUGAGUAACACGUGGGAACGUGCCUUUUGGUUCGGAAUAACUCAGGGAAACUUGUGCUAAUACCGAAUGUGCCCUUCGGGGGAAAGAUUUAUCGCCAUUAGAGCGGCCCGCGUCUGAUUAGCUAGUUGGUGAGGUAACGGCUCACCAAGGCGACGAUCAGUAGCUGGUCUGAGAGGAUGACCAGCCACACUGGGACUGAGACACGGCCCAGACUCCUACGGGAGGCAGCAGUGGGGAAUCUUGCGCAAUGGGCGAAAGCCUGACGCAGCCAUGCCGCGUGAAUGAUGAAGGUCUUAGGAAUGUAAAAUUCUUUCACCGGGGACGAUAAUGACGGUACCCGGAGAAGAAGCCCCGGCUAACUUCGUG